AUUGAACGCUGGCGGCAGGCUUAACACAUGCAAGUCGAGCGAGCGGCGGACGGGUGAGUAAUGUCUGGGAAACUGCCUGAUGGAGGGGGAUAACUACUGGAAACGGUAGCUAAUACCGCAUACCAUCAGAUGUGCCCAGAGGUGAUUAGCUAGUAGGUGGGGUAAUGGCUCACCUAGGCGACGAUGCCUAGCUGGUCUGAGAGGAUGACCAGCCACACUGGAACUGAAACACGGUCCAGACUCCUACGGGAGGCAGCGAAGGAGAAUAUUGCACCAUCGGCGAAAGCCUGAUGCAGCCAUGCCGCGUGUGUGAAGAAGGCCUUCGGGUUAUAAAGAGCUUUCAGCGAGGGGACGUUACUCGCAGGAGAGGCACCGACUAACUCCGUGCCAGCAGCCGCGGUAAUUC
rnacentral:rRNA from 1 species